AUUGAACGCUGGCGGCAUGCCUUACACAUGCAAGUCGAACGGUAACGGGUCCUCGGGAUGCCGACGAGUGGCGAACGUGUGAGUAAUAUAUCGGAACGUGCCUAGUAGUGGGGGAUAACCGCCCGAAAGAGGAGCUACUACCGCAUACGACCUGAGGGAGAAAGGGGGGGAUCGCAAGACCUCUCGCCAUUGGAUCGGCCGAUAUCAGAUUAGCUAGUUGGUGGGGUAAAGGCCUACCAAGGCAACGAUCUGUAGUUGGUCUGAGAGGACGACCAGCCAAACUGGGACUGAGACACGGCCCAGACGCCUACGGGAGGCAGCAGUGGGGAAUUUUGGACAAUGGGCGCAAGCCUGAUCCAGCAAUGCCGCGUGAAGGAAGAAGGCCUUCGGGUUGUAAACUGCUUUUGUCAGGGAAGAAAUCUUCUGGGCUAAUACCCCGGGAGGAUGACGGUACCUGAAGAAUAAGCACCGGCUAACUACGUGCCAGCCGCCGCCGUAA
rnacentral:rRNA from 1 species